UACGAGUGCCUCAAGCGUUAUCCGGAAUCAUUGGGCGUAAAGGGUGUGUAGGUGGUCGCGUUAGUCUUUUGUUAAAUUCUUCGGCUUAACCGGGGGCAUGCAGGAGAAACGGCGCGACUUGACGGUGCAAGAGGUCUGCGGAACUCAUAGUGUAGCGGUGAAAUGCGUUGAUAUUAUGGGGAACACCAAAUGCGAAGGCAGCAGACUGGGGCACUCGUGACACUGAAACACGAAAGCGUGGGUAGCGAAUGGG
rnacentral:rRNA from 1 species